AUACGGAGGGUGCAAGCGUUACUCGGAAUCACUGGGCGUAAAGCGCGCGCAGGCGGCUUGAUAAGUUGGAUGUGGAAGCCUACGGCUCAACCGUAGAACUGCAUCCAAAACUGUCAAGCUAGAGUCUGGGAGGGGAAGAUGGAAUUAGUUGUGUAGGGGUAAAAUCCGUAGAGAUAACUAGGAAUACCAAAAGCGAAGGCGAUCUGCUGGAACAGUACUGACGCUGAGGCGCGAAAGCGUGGGGAGCAAACAGGAUUAGAAACCCCGGUAGUCC
rnacentral:rRNA from 1 species